rnacentral:pre_miRNA from 1 species
ACAUCAUCUAGCAGUAAGCCAGGGAGAGAGAGUGGACACAAGAUCUUGUGUCCACUCUCUCUCCCUGGCUUACUGCUAGAUGAUGC